UAGCUACUCCCUCCGUCCGAAAAAGCUUGUCCCUCAAAUGAAUGUAUCUGGCACCAAGUUACAGCUACAUACAUCCAUUUAAGGAACAAGCUAAGGACAAGUUUUUUCGGACGGAGGGAGUACUAU
rfam:Triticum aestivum genome assembly, contig: Triticum_aestivum_CS42_TGACv1_scaffold_623861_7DS